ensembl:lncRNA
AUCUCAGUGCCCUCUGACCCCCAUGUCAGAGCCCCUCUGCCCCCCAUCUCAGUGCCCCACUGACCCUCUCAGUGCCCUCUGACCCCCAUCUCAGUGCCCUCUGACCCCCAUCUCAGUGCCCUCUGACCAUCUCAGUGCCCCUCUGACCAUCUCAGUGCCCCUCUGACCCCCAACUCAGUGCCCCUCUGACCAUCUCAUGUCCCUCUGACCCCCAUCUCAGUGCCCCUCUGACCAUCUCAGUGCCCCUCUGACCCCCAUCUCAGUGCCCCUCUGACCAUCUCAGUGCCCCUCUGACCAUCUCAGUGCCCCACUGACCCUCUCAGUGCCCUCUGACCCCCAUCUCAGUGCCCCUCUGCUCAUCUCAGUGCCCUCUGACCCCCAUCUCAGUGCCCUCUGACCCCCAUCUCAGUGCCCGUCUGACGCUCAUCUCAGUGCCCCUCUGACCCCCAUCUCAGUGCCCCUCAGACCCCCAUCUCAGUGCCUCUCUGACCCCCAUCUCAGUGCCCCUCAGACCCCCAUCUCAGUGCCCCUCUGACCCCCAUCUCAGUGCCCUCUGACCCCCAUCUCAGUGCCCCUCUGACCCCCAUCUCAUGCCCCUCUGACCCCCAUCUCAGUGCCCGUCUGACGCUCAUCUCAGUGCCCUCUGACCCCCAUCUCAGUGCCCUCUGACCCCCAUGUCAGAGCCCCUCUGACCCCCAUCUCAGUGCCCUCAGACCCCCAUCUCAGUGCCCCUCUGACCCUCUCAGUGCCCUCUGACCCCCAUCUCAGUGCCCCUCUGACCAUCGCAGUGCCCUCUGACCCCCAUCUCAGUGCCCUCUGACCCCCAUCUCAGUGCUCCUCUGACCCUCUCAGUGCUCUCUGACCCCCAUCUCAGUGCCCUCUGACCCUCUUAGUGCCCCUCUGACCCCCAUCUCAGUGCCCUCUGACCCCCAUCUCAGUGCCCCUCUGACCCUCUCAGUGCCCCUCUGACCCCCAUCUCAGUGCCCCCUGACCCCCAUCUCAGUGCCCCUCUGACCCCCAUCUCAGUGCCCUCUGACCCCCAUCUCAGUGCCCCUCAGACCCCUAUCUCAGUGCCCUCUGACCCCCAUCUCAGUGCCCCUCUGACCCCCAUCUCAGUGCCCCUCUGACCCUCUCAGUGCCCCUCUGACCCCCAUCUCAGUGCCCUCUGACCCCCAUCUCAGUGCCCUCUGACCCUCUCAGUGCCCUCUGACCCCCAUCUCAGUGCUCCUCUGACCCCCAUCUCAGUGCCCUCUGACCCCCAUCUCAGUGCCCCUCAGACCAUCGCAGUGCCCUCUGACCCCCAUCUCAGUGCCUCUCUGACCUCCAACUCAGUGCCCUCUGACCCCCAUCUCAGUGCCCCUCUGACUCCCAUCUCAUGCCCCACUGACCCCCAUCUCAGUGCCCCUCUGACCCCCAUCUCAGUGCCCUCUGACCCCCAUCUCAGUGCCCCUCAGACCCCC